rnacentral:siRNA from 1 species
GGAGUGGUGCCGGUGAGGCGAAUU